GUCUAUGGCUAUGCUACCCUGAACAAGCCCGAUCCCAUCUGAUCUCGGAAGCUAAGCAGGGUUGGCCUGGUUAGUACUUGGAUGGGAGACUACCUAGGAAGGCCAGGUGCUGUAGGCA
rnacentral:rRNA from 1 species